ACCCUCGGCCCCCCACGGCGGUUGGUCCCGGCGGGGGAAGGAGAAAGUGAGACUCGGUGUCAUCACCAAUCCGUCGCCAGAAGGGGAGGAAACUGGAAUCCAGCAGCGGCGAGCAGCAGCUGGGCGGUCACAUCUGGAAAUGGAAAGCCGACCUCCCCCUCCUCCUCCACCUCUUCCUCCUCCUCCUCCUCCUCCUCUCACCCAGGAUCACUUCCGAAACCACUUGGCCUUCAGCCCCUGCCUCGGCCAGAGGUUUCAUUUUUAACUGAAUAUUUACGAAAGCUGAAAGCGUGCGAGGGGGGUGGGGUGGAAAUAGCGGCUGCUUCUUUUCCAAGGAUUUAUUUAAUGGGGAUGUGUUCAAGGCAAGACCGAAUUCAGAAGGAUAUCGACGUCGUGAUCCAGAAGUCCAGAGCUGAGGACUGCCUGUUUGCAGAUUUCAGGUACUCAGACUCCACCUUUACUUUUACCUAUGUUGGCGGCCCCAGAAGGACAACUGUGCAGACUACAAAGCUUCGGAAAACCGGAGAGGCUGAGUCGACUAAUCGUGUUGUUGCACGUUAGAAACGCUUGCAUUGCCUGACUCUGAAACCAGAAGGGCGGCCGAAUGGCCUUCACCCUCCAUUAACCCUCGCCUCCUUCAGAAGCCAGUGCCUCUGGAAAUGCCUGGAUCUGCGACCCCAGCCUGAGCCUAGUAGGGCCCAAGGGAAGCUGAACGCCCCGACGGCUCUCAUGGGCACCGGCAACAGUUUUCCGUUUGUGCCUACUCCACCUGCUGUCUUUGUUGGGUCAGCGAACAUCGCCUCCCUCUACCGCUCAAUCAGCAAAAGGGACCGCCCUUGAGGACCUCACCCGCGGCUCACUCCCCUCCCAACUUCGCGGGCAUCGCCUCCGGUCGCCUCUUCCGAAGGCCUAACGAGCAUGUUAGCUGCGAACGGAGGUGAGGAGGCUCCGCUGACUGACCGGUGCCCAUGUCCAGGGCACGCACAAACGCCAUGACUUGGCUUGGCCUCUCUCUUAGUUAUUCACAAGCUCAGCCCGAUAGGCACCUCUGGGGCGGCGACGGCAAAGAGGGUGCGCUUAUUAAGUGCAGCUCCACGGGGACUGGCCUCUGCACGGCUGUGUACACCUGAGCGAGACGCUCAGUCGCUCUCUAAAGCCGCUUCUGCGGAUGACAGACACGGAGAUAAACGUGAGAGGUGGCCCACCACGACUUGCCCUCCUUUGCCCGGGUUUGCCCCUCGCUGCGGAGGCUGUUCUACAUCUGGCCCUUGGAGCAGGCCGGCUGACAGCGUGGUAAAGGAAGAUUUCUGCGGGAGGGCGGCCAGUGCAAAACAAUUCCCUGACCGGGAAUCGAACCCGGGCCGUGGCGCUUUCAGCACCGAAUCCUAGCCACUAGACAACCAUGCAGAUGCGG
rnacentral:lncRNA from 1 species